CCCCCACGCCGAAAGACCAAGGGUUCCUGCGCAACGUUAAUCGGCGCAGGGUGAGUCGGCCCCUAAGGCGAGGCUGAGAAGCGUAGUCGAUGGGAAAUCGGUUAAUAUUCCGAUACUACUCAUUAUUGCGAUGGGGGGACGGAGAAGGCUAGGUAUACCGCGCGUUGGUUGUCGCGGAGAAAGGUGGUAGGCAGAGAUUCCAGGCAAAUCCGGAGUCUUAAUGCUGAGAACUGAGACCAGGCCCCAUGUGGGCUGAAGUUACCGAUGCCAUGCUUCCAAGAAAAGCCUCUAAGCUUCAGAUAGUGAGUAACCGUACCCGAAACCGACACAGGUGGUCAGGUCGAGAAGACCAAGGCGCUUGAGAGAACUCUGGUGAAGGAACUAGGCAAAAUGGCACCGUAACUUCGGGAGAAGGUGCGCUGCUGCGCGUGAAGGGCUUGCCCCGUAAGCGCAUGGCAGCCUCAGAAACCAGGCCGCUGCGACUGUUUAUUAAAAACACAGCACUCUGCAAACACGAAAGUGGACGUAUAGGGUGUGACGCCUGCCCGGUGCCGGAAGGUUAAUUGAUGGGGUUAGCGAAAGCGAAGCUCUUGAUCGAAGCCCCGGUAAACGGCGGCCGUAACUAUAACGGUCCUAAGGUAGCGAAAUUCCUUGUCGGGUAAGUUCCGACCUGCACGAAUGGCGUAACGAUGGCGGCGCUGUCUCCACCAGAGACUCAGUGAAAUCGAAAUAGCGGUGAAGAUGCCGUUUACCCGCGGCUAGACGGAAAGACCCCGUGAACCUUUACUGCAGCUUGACACUGAACUUUGACUUUACUUGUGUAGGAUAGCUGGGAGGCUUUGAAGUGACGACGCUAGUUGUCAUGGAGCCGACGUUGAAAUACCAGCCUGGUAACGUUGAGGUUCUAACCUGGCCCCCUUAUCGGGGGUGGGGACAGUGUCUGGUGGGUAGUUUGACUGGGGCGGUCUCCUCCUAAAGAGUAACGGAGGAGCACGAAGGUGCGCUAAUCACGGUCGGAAAUCGUGAGGUUAGUGUAAUGGCACAAGCGCGCUUAACUGCGAGGCCGACAAGCCGAGCAGGUACGAAAGUAGGUCAUAGUGAUCCGGUGGUUCUGUAUGGAAGGGCCAUCGCUCAACGGAUAAAAGGUACUCUGGGGAUAACAGGCUGAUACCGCCCAAGAGUUCAUAUCGACGGCGGUGUUUGGCACCUCGAUGUCGGCUCAUCUCAUCCUGGGGCUGAAGCAGGUCCCAAGGGUAUGGCUGUUCGCCAUUUAAAGAGGUACGCGAGCUGGGUUUAGAACGUCGUGAGACAGUUCGGUCCCUAUCUACCGUGGGCGUUUGAGACUUGAGAGGAGCUGCUUCUAGUACGAGAGGACCGAAGUGGACGUACCUCUGGUGUUCCGGUUGUCACGCCAGUGGCAUUGCCGGGUAGCUAUGUACGGAAGGGAUAACCGCUGAAAGCAUCUAAGCGGGAAGCCCACCUCAAGAUGAGGUCUCACUGG
rnacentral:rRNA from 1 species